GCCGGGUAUGGUGGUGCACACCUGUAGUCCCAGCUACUUGGGAGGCUGAGGUGGGAGAAUCACUUGAGCCCAGGAGGUCGAGGUUGCAGUGAGCCAUGGUUGCCACUGCAACUCCAGCCUGGGCAAAAGAGUGAGACCUUAUU
rnacentral:SRP_RNA from 2 species